UCCGCUUCUCGGCUCUUUGAGCUAAGAUCAAAAGUGAGUUAAUUUGUUCUUAUCAGCUUAAUAUCUGAUACAAUCCCCAUAGGGGAUUCAGUAUAUUAAUGCGUUUUUUGUAAUAUUGUUU
rnacentral:snRNA from 1 species